GGAAGAUAAUAUCGAUGCAAAAGCGAAUCAAAUAAAGUAUCAUUGAUCGUCGACGAAAGAAUAAACAUGGGAAUUUUUAUUAAAUAGUACGACAUAUUUAUCUACGCGACAAAAACGAUUUCGAUAAUAUUCUUAUUUCUUCAUUAAACUCUGUGGAGCUACGCUCAAAAAGAGGCCCAAAUGAAUUCUUCGGUUAUAAAAACUUGGUUGCAACGUGGCGAACUUGAGAAACUCGAAAAUAUCGUGUUGGAGGGUCGAGGCGCGCGUUUAUUAAGCGCACAUUCACCGGAUCUUAGGACUCGUGUCUUCCUGAAGGGACUCCCGAAUUAUUUGACGAAAAUCUCUCAAGUGCACGAUGCCGUUGCGCGCGGCUCGUUAGCUGAAACGCAGAAAAUCAUAUCUGAAGAAUCGAAGAAGAAGCUAGCGAUCGCCAAGGAUUCUUGCGGCACGCCCUUGAUACACAAAGCGGUAUAUUACGAUCAACCCGACAUUGUCGCCUGGCUCGUAGAAAAUUAUCCUAUUACGCCGCAGCAGAGAGAUAAAGAGGGAAAAACAGCUUUACAUUAUUGCGGCAAGUGUAAAGAUCCCGAUUCGAUCUGGGAUCUUCUUAUAGAAAGUGGAUGCGACGCUAGCAUUUGCGACAAGAAAGGAAAGCCGGCCGCUUAUUACUUGAAACAUCCCACGGAAAUUGAAUUACCCGAAGUGGAAGUGAUGCCGCGAAGAAAAAGCACCGGGAAGGAUUCUCUGGAUUUUAAGCCUUCCAAUAUCAGGAUAUGGAUACACAACAAAGACAUCGGAAAGUUGCAGCAAAUUCUGUGGGAGGGACAUGGGUCCAAACUUCGAUGCGAAACCAGCAAUAAUCCUCGGAUAAGAAAAUUCUUAGAGGCCACACCCUUCAUCAUGGCCACAAUAAAAGAAAUCCAUACAGCAGUCGUUAAUAAUGACUUGGAAGGUUUCAAACAGAAAUUGGAAGGUAUUUCGCCUAUUGUUUUGUGCGGCAAGGACAGCAACGGUUUAAAUGUCUUACAUAAGGCCGCUGGUUUAGGAUAUACGGAUAUUGCGCGUGAAAUCCUCGAAAGGUAUCCCGAAACGGUAACAGCUCAAGAUAACGAAGGAAAGACACCUUUGCAUUAUGCAGCUGCACUUAAAGACGAUGGCGCCAUGUACGAUCUUCUAACGGAACACGGAGCUGACGAAAGUAAAUUAGAUAACAGGCAAAAGGCGCCUGCAUUCUACAAGAAUCGCCCUUCGGACGUGGAUCUGUCAAAUUUGUCGAUGAUACCGGACGCACCUCGCGUCUCCGCUACUUAUCCGAAAAAUUGGGAUUGGAAAAUUUUGGAGUUAGGUCAAGCCGCUAUGCGAGGAAUGAAAAAGGUAGUAAGCAGCAAUGACGUUGACAGCGCUUUCGGUAGCGCUGAGUCUACGACGAAGGAUGAUUCGAAUGAGAAGAGAGGGGGGAGUCCCAAUUCGCAAUUUCAGGUCUACGAUAUGAAGGAUUAUAUGGGAGAUUUGGUGGAACAGAUUAAGAGGGCCGAUGAGGAGCAACAGGAGGAGGAGGAGGAGGAGGAGGAGGCUGAGACCCCGAAUGGAGACGAGGAGGAAGCACAGAAAGAGAAUGAGAAUGAAACAAAUAAUGAGGAGGAGGCUGAAACCCCGAAUGGAGACGAGGAGGAAGCGGCACAGAAAGAGAAUGAGAAUGAAACAAAUAAUGAGGAGGAAGCGGCGAAUGAGAAUGCGGAGGAAACGAACGAAGAGGAGCAGCAGAAUACGGCGGAGGAGGAAACAAAAGAAGAUGAGGACAAGACAUCCUCAGACGAUGACGUGGUAACCGGGGCUGUCGCGGAACCGACGAAAGACGAGGAGGACGGGCCCGAGGCUGCCGUUAAUGAGGACGCGGUCGACGAGGAAUCCCCGAAGAUCGAAGAAAUCGCCGCCGGCGAAGAAACUGCCGUUGAGAAUGAAGAUAGAAAUGAGCCCAGCACCGGCGAUUCUGGCGUUGACGAAGAGCAGCAGGUUAUUGUUGGUGAACACGAGGAACCUGCCGAAGUAGAGUUGAAGGAAGGUAGCAUGGCCCAUGAUCUGGAAGUGGAGAAUCUACUGGAGAACGGCAACAUGGAACAAUUAGCAGCUCUGGUCCUCAAUGGCGAAGGCCGACGAUUGCUUGGACGGCAGUCCGGAAAUCCGGAACUCCAGGCAUUCAUCGACAAUGUUCCAGCUUACAUGGGAAAAAUUCAUGCCGUACACAUGGCAGCGCGAGAGGGAAAUCUUCGUGAUCUGCAAAACGCCCUGGAUCGGCGUAAAUUCGCGGUGGCACGAGACGAAUCGUCACCCCACGGUGCAACGCCAUUGCACGUUGCAGUUGUAUUUGGCAAUACUGCUAUCAUUAGGUACCUGGCAGGAAGGUUUCCAGAAACCGCCAACGCAAUCGAUCUCGACGGACGUACUCCGUUGCAUUACGCCGCAACCCUUGCCGAUAACGGCCAUUACUACAACCUCUUGCUGCAUCUGGGCGCCAACCCUUUAAUACAAGACAAUUUCGGACAAAAAGCGGAUUAUUACAAACAAAAUCAAAGCGAUCUAUCACACAAACAGCUUCUUCGCGAUUUCGGGGCUAGCGAGAAGCUCGCCGACGAGAUGUUGACAGAUAAAGACAAGCGCAAUCAAGUCAUCUCUGAAAUACCGCUUCCCGAAGGUGAUAUCUACUCAGCCCGACGUGAUGUGAGCGAGCCCGAGAUCCUGACCACCCUGGAGCGAUGCUUCCGAUUGUUGGCGGGCAAUCGGCGAUCGUCGAUACCAAAGACACCAUCGAACGCCGGUACACUAGUCGCUCGUUGCUUGAAACAGCCCGUAUUCGAUUUGAUCAAACACCGUGUGACUCGCAUGGACCACAAUCUUUUUGACGUGAUCUGGCCCGCUCUGAAAAGGUACGGUACCGUCACGGGUAACGGUAGCAAGACGAGCAGCGCCCGCUCGAGUCUCAGCAACUCCACGGACGAGGAUCAGGGUUACGGCGUAGUGGCGCCCGAUUUCGAGAGCUACGUCGUCUUCACGGAAUUCUUCGAUCCCUUCAUCCGGGAGUUGCACUGCGUCACAGCGAGCGGCGAAUUACUCGAUCAUCCAUUGCCGCAUUUUUUUCACGUUGGGAACGAGGAGGGCGAGGAGAUGCUGCCGGAUGAAACGAUCGUCACCGCGAUUGCGCAAUACGAUCUAGAUCCCACCUGUAAAUUUAUCCAAGCCGGUGUUUUAGAGUGCACCCGAAACCUGGCCAACUAUAGUCUGCCAUUGACACUAACAGUCAAUCAACUGGAGGAGGUCGAGAGGGAGAUCACUACUGAGCUGAUGAGCCCGGAGAUCACCGAUCUGAUGGCGGAGGGCAGUAGCGAGGACGAGGCCGGUACAUAUUUUACUCUCAACGAGAUCCUCGAUCAGCCUAGCCGAAUACGAGCACAAUUGGCAGCGGCCGGUCUAUUGUUACCGAUCACGGAGUACGACCUAAACGACGACCGACGUCUUCAUGGCAAGCAUUGGCCCUACGGACGUGGCGUAUACGUUACAACAGCCGGUGAUCUCGCCGCGUGGGUGAACGUCCAGGAUCAUCUGAGGAUCGUUUGUCGCACAAGCGAGAAUCGGCCUGGCUUGGUAGGCCGCGCUUACGUCAGAGUAGCUAAACUAAUGAUGAUAUUCGACCGGAGACUUAAAUUCAAGCGAGAUCAGAAGCUUGGUUUCUUGACCGCGCGCCCGCACGCUCUCGGCAACACUCUUAGAUUCUGCUUGAUCGUCCGGCUUCCGGAACUCUCAAAGACGCCAGACAAUCUGCGGCACCUGUGCGUAGUGCGCGGUCUAAGCGUACGCGAUACUAUAAAGAGAGAUAUGGUGAGGAUCAGCAAUCAACAAUCGCUCUCAAUCACCGAGCUGCAGACCCUCCAAGACUUCUCCAGAGCGGUGCACAAUAUCAUCACGCUGGAAAAGGACUUGUCGUUGAAUAACUCGAUGAAGCUCGCCAACCUCAUUACUGGCAUAUUCCGCAAGCGAGCAAACGCGUCUAGAAAUCUCAAGGCAUAAACAAAUUAAUAACAUUAACGAUUACGAAAGACAAUAAAACAUUAGAUUCUAAAUUCUUGAAGACGAUAUUAGCCAUCUUCUUUCCACACUUUACAAACGAAAACUCGAGAAGAAAAUAAUAUAAAAUAAUAAAAAAAUAAAAUAAAAAGAAAUAAGAGAAUAAAAUGAGAAUUAUAUAAAAAAUGAUGAUUGCGCACUUUAUGUGUGCGUGAAAUACGGAAUGUAUUUUAAAUGACUCAAAAAAUCAUCGAUCUAUUUUGGAAAAUUUUAUAUGGAAGAACUUUAUUCGGAGAAAUAUUUAAAGGAAGCAAAAUAAUUAAUUCACCAUUUACCGAAGAUUUUUAUUUUACACAACAACUUGAAUUCAAAUACUCGUAUUUAACACAACAAUGAUUUCUCUUGUCGAUUGUCUUCAAGAACCUCAUCCUCCUACGUUCUAUCUUUUCUCUUAAGUCUUUCUAUAAGUAACAUUUACGCUUAUUCAUGGAAAUUUUCUGUGAUAAUUAUCAGCCAACAUUUGACAGUCAAUUACUCUUCAUAGACUGAACUUUUUAGAUAACUUAGGCUAUAAUGAGCGAGAGGGAGAGAGAGAAAGAGAAAGAGAGAAGUGCGUUGGAAAGAUAUGUGAAUGUUAUUUUGUUUUCUCUCGUGCAUACCCAGCAUCUCUCUUAUGAAAUUACAUUAAAUCAUAAUUGUAGUCGCUCUAUUAACCGGAUUAAUCGGCGACGAGAAUAAAGGAUUGCUGAUUAGACGAUAAUGAAGCCGAAAUACCGAUAUUUCGGACGGAAGAAGGCCGUUAUUUAGCAUCAUCAUUGGGUGAUCCCUUAAUUAAAGGAUUAACGGAAGUUGCUAACGCGCGUCCAAAGGAUCCGGUCACAUAUCUCGCGACAUACUU